rnacentral:rRNA from 1 species
CCUGGNUCAGGAUGAACGCUGGCGGCGUGCUUAAAACAUGCAAGUCGAACGAUGAUCCCAGCUUGUUGGGGGAUUAGUGGCGAACGGGUGAGUAACACGUGAGUAACCUGCCCUUGANUCUGGGAUAAGCCUGGGAAACUGGGUCUAAUACCGGAUACGACCAUCUGGCGCAUGUCAUGGUGGUGGAAAGCUUUUGUGGUUUUGGAUGGACUCGCGGCNUAUCAGCUUGUUGGUGGGGUAAUGGCCUACCAAGGCGACGACGGGUAGCCGGCCUGAGAGGGUGACCGGCCACACUGGGACUGAGACACGGCCCAGACUCCUACGGGAGGCAGCAGUGGGGAAUAUUGCACAAUGGGCGAAAGCCUGAUGCAGCGACGCCGCGUGAGGGAUGACGGCCUUCGGGUUGUAAACCUCUUUCAGUAGGGAAGAAGCGAAAGUGACGGUACCUGCAGAAGAAGCGCCGGCUAACUACGUGCCAGCAGCCGCGGUAAUACGUAGGGCGCAAGCGUUAUCCGGAAUUAUUGGGCGUAAAGAGCUCGUAGGCGGUUUGUCGCGUCUGCUGUGAAAGACCGGGGCUCAACUCCGGUUCUGCAGUGGGUACGGGCAGACUAGAGUGCAGUAGGGGAGACUGGAAUUCCUGGUGUAGCGGUGAAAUGCGCAGAUAUCAGGAGGAACACCGAUGGCGAAGGCAGGUCUCUGGGCUGUAACUGACNCNNAGGAGGCAAGCAUGGGAC